rnacentral:tmRNA from 1 species
GGGGGCGACAUUGGUUUCGAGGCCAGUCGUUUCGUCUGGAGGAAGCGGGCCGAGGUCAGGGAUCCUCGUAAAACCGCCCUGAACACUCAAACGAAACGUCGCUGCAUAAGCGAGUUCCCAUCUAGAUAAAGAUGGGCGUUCCACCCGGGAAGGCCUGCGGCUCGGGAUGGGGCGUCAUGCAGCAGGCUGGCUGGAGUGCCCCCCGCCGGGCGGGGCGCUUCAGUGAGAUCAAAGUCCGGCUGGGCUCCGGCGGGCCUGCCUGCGGCAGUUGCCGGGCCGAGAUCUAAAAGCAGGCUACGCCCGUAGAUGCCCCAGAGGAGAGCUGUGUCGACGGGGGUUCGAAUCCCCCCGCCUCCACUG